UAAGGGGCCCAUACGGCGGUGCCUCUGGUUAGGGUAGGGGGAGCUGGGAGCGAUCUGGAGGGGGGUACGGGCGAGCCCAAGUUGGUGGGCACCCGACCCCGCCUCCAGAACCUGCCUCCCAAUUUUCCGUAUAGUGGUGUAGCCCUGGGCAGCGUGCAAACUAUGCGACGACGGCGCCGGCGCUUACCCACGCUGUGCGCGCCUCCUUACCUCGGCUUUCCAGCUAGCGCACGCGGGCACGGCGGCCCACCCCUCCCACCCGGCGGCGCGUGCCCGGGGAGAUGGGUGACGGCGAGCUCAUUACCCCCGAAACCCCAUAAGGGGGUUCGGAUCUCCUCACGAGCAAUAUUAUAUACAUAUAUACAGAUAUAUACAAGACUGGCAUGGCUAGAAGAAGCAGGCGAAUCGACACCCCGGGAGAAGAGCCAUGGCCCUCGUGGAUAGCUGUUCCUCACAGGGAGUCCUCCUAGGUGGGAGAGGCAACGGCCUUGCUCGCGCGCCAUGCGGGACUCUAGAAUCAAGGGGAGAAAGUACUUUACUGAACACGAACUUUUUGGAGAAAUGGUUCAAAACCCACUAGUAUCGGGGCCCUGCUCCCUGGCUCCCCGCACUAGGACAUGGUAGAGAGCACCGGCUAAGCGAAAGGGCAGGGACAUAAAGUUUUUGAACCAUCUUUCUCGGGCGGGCAUGAGUUUCUGCCACCGGGGUCUACUUGGAUACAAUUCAUUCAUUCAUUCAAUUACUGGCCACAACCACCUUGUGCCCAGGUGAGUGGACGGAGCAAAGGGUCAGCCUAAGACAUAGCGCCUUCCCUGAAUGGGACAAGGCAACAGCAGAUCCAGAGCUGCCGGGUAAUCACAAACUUUCUUUCAAGGCUGCCUUCCUUUCACUUUUGAACACUGCGCAAAACUUGGGAUGCCUGGGAGAAGGGAACAGAAACUCUACCUCUGCAUGCAAACACACCCCAGGGACCUCGAGGGGGAAAGGGUGAGUGGCCUCAAUAAAUUGUGUGGAUGGCUCUAUCUUUGAAAAUAGGAGGACACUGUUGACCACUCAACAGUUUUCGGGUCCUCCUUCCUGCAAAGUCUGCCCAACUCAAGGUCAGAAAAGGUGUGCCACAGAAAGCUACAGCACACUGUUUUUCUUGGUCCCUGUCCGUAUAUCUCUACCUCCAUAGACACUUUUUUUUUCUUUAAUGGAUUUGGAAGAACUACAGAACGUGAUUGAAAGCAACCAAGGAUCUGCUGGAAUUAAGAGCAGGAAGUUCAACCUAACAAAUGGGCCUUCGCUGGCUGCCUCGGGCCUAAUCUCUCAAAAGUUACUUCUUAUCCACAGCUGAUUGUGGCCUCUCUUCAAUACAACAUACACUUAAAAAAAAAUACGCAAAACUCAAAGCAACUACUGUCCCAGAGUGACUUUUCUUCUUCUUCUUUUUUUUUUUUAAUCUAACCAGAGGGGAUGAAAAAUAUUUAACUGCUAUCUGGUUGUGCCUGAGUGAAACUGAGCUGUCAACUCUCAGCCUGCUCUGUAAGUGGCGACCUGAAGCCAGCGGCUCCCUUCUGCUUCUUCACACAGUCAACAAAAACACCUUCACUGAAUUUGAUUCAUCUGUCAUUUGUGAAAUUAAACAGAAGAGAGAGGACCUGGCCAGAAAUUUCUGUUCCGCUCCAGUUGUUCAAAAGCCUCUUCCUUCCUGCUUCCAGUAUGCUGAGGCACAGAUACAUUGUAUUUAAAAGAAGAGGAGGAGGAGGCAUAUCAGAAAGGAAUUCUGAGGCUGGCCUUAGUGGAAGAGGGGUAAGUUCCCAGCCAACUUUGUGGCCCUGCCUGGGAAGUCCAUGUGGCCUUCCUCAGUGGCUAUGGAGAAGACAGGAUAGUAGGACCUGGGUAAGUACAAAGACACUGUCCUUGGAACCAAGGGACCUAGUCCUGCAUUGUUCUACAGUGUCCAAAAUGUCCUCUCCUCCAGGGAGGCUCUUUGGAUUUCUCCUAGAAGCCUUAUGUCUCUGUCUCUCUCACAGUUCUCAGCUGGGUGAAAGAGGAUAAACUUCUGAACUCUGCUGCUAAGUGGCUUCCAGGUAUGGGGACCUGGAAACGAUUAGGCACUAAGAUGUUUUUCCUACACUAGCUGCCAUUUUGGUGAGGGUACAUUGAAAGGUGUGUGUGUGUAUUUGUGUGUGUGUGUGUGUGAGAGAGAGAGAGAGAGAGAGAGAGAGAGAGAGAGAGAGAGAGAGAUGAGUGGGGGAAGGAGAGGGUCCUGACAAAUGUCUUCUACCUAAAACUUUUAAGAGAAUUAAAAUAUUCUAAAAUGAGAAACACACCCCUCUUCUUCUCCCAAAGAGACAAAAGAAUGCACCCAGGGUCUCAGAACUUCCCCUGGCAGAAGGAGGGGCUGCUGUGCUACUCAAGAGCUCAGAGCCUGGGAACUGGAAGCUGCCACGUUGCCCCCUAUUGUAUUUUAUCUUUCUGACCUGCUAAGAUCUACAAAGCCCCCCAAGUGGGGUUACUUGUCACCAGAUAUUAAUUGCUGAACUGAAACCUCAAAAAUACAUAUAUUCUUAGGCCAGGGGAGGGUCUGAGUCCCUGGAAAGGCAGCUGAAGGGAGGGGGUCCACAGUGCUGGCUGCAGCAGGCGCAGGCGCAAAUUUUCUGUGGCCAGGCUCUCUCUAUUGUAAAAUCGGAGCGCCAUCUGCCAGCCAGUUCUGAAUAGCUUGCUUUGUUAAGUUUUUUCUACUCCCUAACCCUAAAUAGUGGGCUUUCUCCUUUCUUUCCUUUAAAAGUUACGUGUAUUUUAAAAAUUCUGGCUCAGAAAUGUCCUCCCUAUGCAAAAAGAUCCUACUUUUCAAAACAAUCUGCAAAUGAAAAGAAAAAGAAAAAAAGAAAGAGAGAGAGAGAAUGGGAAGAGAGCAAACAGGGUCAUCUGGGGGUCACUCUCGGAAAUCUGUGGGACUUGCUUCUACCCAAAAAUGCACACCACCAAGAUUCGUGUGCACACUGCUGACUGCUCCGGUGUCCUGGACUCAUCUCGGUGCCUAGCUUCAGGUUUUGUGUGUCAUUGUGACCAUUGCUGUUGACAUUUGUUUGAAGAAAAUCCAGUCUUACCUGGACUUACCUGGGUGCAGGUUACCUGUAAGAAUGUCAUUAUAGUUGUUUACAUUAGUGACCAGUUUGACAAGAGGCAAACUGGUCACGUAGGAGAGAGGAGAGAGGUAGUGAGAACUUCUGACAGAAGGGACAGUCAAAGAGCCAGCAACUGAGAAGAGAGGCUCCCGCUGGCCAUGCUGGGGUCCUGUCAGAGGUCACAUUCCCUUAGCGGUGGCAGCGAGAAAGCUCGGCGUGACACCCAGAGAAGGUAGCUGCAGAAGCUUUUCUCUUCCCGUUAUCAAAGAAUAAUUAGAUGAAGUUGCAAGUACUUGCUCUGUGACCCCCAACAAGAUGUGUGUUAACAGGGUCAGAAACACCGCCCAACACUCACAUUAAAUUUUAAAUCAGAUAAUAAUUUAUAUUGUUUUUAUACCUCUCUCCUCAUCCCAAGUUAAAUCAUUAAACUUUAGUAAGGUCCAUUGUUUGAGCUUGGUGGGUGGGACCCUUCAGGUCAAAGUAUUCCUGAGCUCUCACAAGUCCAUCUGUAAUGCAAUUUGGGAUUUUUACCUCUAAGUACAACAGAAGCACACUUCCUUAGUUUUCGUUCCUCUGUCACAGAUCACUUGCCUGCUGUUCCUCCUUGAUUACAGCUUCUGGUGUGGCACAUGCAAAAUACUUCAAUAACUCUAACUUCAAAGGUGUGUGUCUUAUGUCAGAGACCAAAGCAUUCUGUGUCCCCUCAAGCCUGUGAUGGUUGGCAAUAAUUGAAAAGUUAACAUUGGGGGGGGUGGGGGUGGGCGGAGGUCCUUACCUCUUCUCGUGGUCCUUUCCUCUUCCACUGCCACCGGCUGGUCUGCCUCAUCCACGAUCUGGUUGUUGGAAGGGAAACUAAAAACACUUUGUUUUGCAGGUAAAAUGGCCACAGUCAGACCCCCGAGCUAAGUAACGAUACUGAACUAACGUAUACAUAGGUAGCUAAGAACAGGAAGGGGAGAAGAGGGAUAAGCAAGAUGACAGAUGAUAUUUGUUCAGGAUGGGGAGGAAAAAAAAAGUGACCUCUCAGGCUUUUUCUUCUUCUGCCAAAUUACCAUAUAAUAUCAAAUUUGGCAAGGUGUCAUUUGUCUAUUGCUUAAGUUCGCUUGUGUUUACAAACCCUGUACAAAGAGUGAACUAUGAAAGGUAGAAGCCGGAAGCAUAGGAUGCCCAGGGCUUAAGAGUCUCUUAUGGAGAAUAUCCAAGAAGUAAAACCUCACUUGGAAUAAGGAAAGAGAAAAAAAAAAGUUAUAAACUCAACCUUUGGGAAAUCUCACAUGUGAAACACUAGACCAUAGCCAAUAAAAAGCUUCAUCCAGGAUCUGGCUUUCCUCUUAGGGAAUUAAGAAGGAAAAAAAAAAGUCCUCAUCUUUGACUCUUCUGGCAGCUUGCAUCCGAGACUGCCCACAAGUAUCCUAAAGCUGCCCAAAGGCUCCAAAGAUUGUUCUGAAAUUCCAAAAGGAAAGCCAGAUCCGUCUUCGAUCAUGGGUCAGGGGUCCAUAGGUCAGCGCAGGAAUGUGCUGGGGACAAAUGAUACAUUGCAUUCAGGGUACUAAAGAACUCAAGGUAGGUGUUGCUGGGAUGCCCAGAUGAUGACUGCAACUGCCCAGGGCUUACUCUCGCCUCUCUUUGGCCCUGUUGUUUCUGUUUGGAAAACUUCUACUACUCUUUCUGUGAAGUUUUAUUUUAAAAUAGGUAAGAAAACAUACUAAUUUUAAUUUCAUUAAAUCCAUGGGAGGAGGAAAGGGUUUAGAAAAAAAAAGUUCAGAAAACUAAUUUCUGUUUGCUAUUUGUGCCAUCUCCUGGAAGACAAAGAGGCAUUUGAAAAGCUAUCAUUUUUGUAAGAAGGGGAUGAGCACAUUUUAUUUGAAGGGAUAAUUGAUUCUAAAAAAGAAAGGGGUAUGCUUAGAGUUGAGAGUUUCAAUUUUAAUCAGUUAGGCUAUCUUCUCUUUAAAUUUUUUAAAAUAUAACUUUCCUGCAUCAAAAGAAAACAAUAAAUGCUUUUCACAACUAUGCAUGAAUACUUGUUGAGUGAAAAAGAAUGGGACUCAGCUGUGCACUAAAAAUAAGGAUUUCAUUAGAAAGACCAAGAAGAGAAAAAUUAUUUGGGGCUUUGUAAUCCUUUAGCCAGAAAUCUCUAUACUCUAGCAUUGCCCAUUCAGGAAUGUGUACAAAAAAACAAUUGCAUUGUCAUUACUAAUUAUCAUUAAUUAUGCAUAAUUAAUUAUCAUUUAUAUCAAUUAUUGAUUAUUACUAAUUAACUAAUAAUGAUUGCUGUUGUUGUUGUUACUAGUGUUGAUGUUACAAGCUUGAGCUCUGCUAAAGAAAACUAUUGGGAGAUUUUUUUAUUUUUUUUCAGAAGAGGUACC